AUGCUGCGGCCCUCCUCCUCCUCAUCCACCUCCUCUUCAUCACAUCUCCUCAUCACAUCCAGAUCUUCAGCAUCAUCACCAGUGUCUCGACCCCGGGGGGCUCCCUAUAUGCUCACGGCUGCAUUUCCCCCUUUAAGGCCCUGUUUCUUCCUCCCCCUUUGUGUGUUUUCCCGCCUUCAUCAGCGUCUGCCCCGCCCCUGAUUGUUUCCACCUGUUCCCACUCACCUCAUGUUGAAAUAGUCCUGCCUCUCCCCUGUCCUGUGUCACUUCGUCUUGUUUGUUUCCCCGAAUGGUCGUGCCAAGCCUCGGCUCUGAAAGGAUCGCUUUCUCUCAUGUUUUGUUUUGUUUAUUUUUGUUGGCUUCAGUUUUUAUUAAGUCCUCUUUUUGUUACGCUAGUUUUUCCUCCUUGUGAGCGCCUUUUGUUAUUUCCACCACCUGCUCUGUUCAGAGGGAUUACCUGACCUGUGGGAAUAAAUAUACUUUUUUAUAUUCAAGACUUUGUCAAAUCUGUGAAAGGGGAGGAACAACGUCUGAGCUGUAGACUUUGAGCAGGAGGAGCCUCGCAUGCAGUAAAUAAGUCGACUGUGUGACUCGCCUUCAUUCCAGGAAAAGGAGUGGUUUAAGAGUUGCAAUCUGUCGUUAACCCCUUAGUUAGUCUGCCUGUCAGAUAACUAAAGAAAACUGUGGAUCUUAAAAGGUUAAACAAGAUCUUUACACGUCUUGAAAUCUGUCAACCAUAUCUACAAGGCACAUCAAUGUCUGUACCACAUAAAAUAACGAUAUUUUCAUGAAACAGCAAAUAUUUAGAGAAUACAAAAUAAGGCACACAGGAAUCAAUUCUAGCAGAUAAUCAAUACACGUCAUGUGACGUUAUGCAGUAACUUUUCUAACAAUAUCUAAUAAGAUAGUUUGAAGUAAUAUGUUACCAACUGUAUUUCAUUGGGUGUGUCAGGGUUUGAGUUUUUGUGUGUCUAGUUUUGGGGUUAUUUUGCUGUUCUGUUCUCCCUGUCGUUAGUGUCCCUGGUGUGUCUGAUUGUGUUCACCUGUGGCCCUUGUGUUUCUCCUCCCAGGCCCGGCUGUUUCUCGUCUCGUGAUUACCCCUCCCUGUAUUUAGUCUAGUGUCUUCCUGUGUUCAGUAUUGGUUCAUUAUUUGUCAUUCAUGUCCCCCUUCAUGUUGGUCACGGUCACCUUUGUUUGGAUGCUACCUCGUACCUGUUCUUGGAUUCUUGUUUUUGUUCAGCUUUUGUUAAAUAAAGCUCGCCUUUUGUUUCCUUUUGAAACCGGCUUCCUCCUCAA